AUCUAUCACUGCUUUUUAGGAUAAGCUUGACUUUUGUUCAAAUAAAAACGCAAAAGGAAAGUGUAUCCUAAAAGGCAAUGACAGUU
rfam:Nomascus leucogenys chromosome X, whole genome shotgun sequence.